rnacentral:rRNA from 1 species
GCAAGCCUGACGGAGCAAUACCGCGUGAGGGAGGAAGGCUCUUGGGUCGUAAACCUCUUUUAUCAGGGAAGAAACAAAUGACGGUACCUGAUGAAUCAGCAUCGGCUAACUCCGUGCCAGCAGCCGCGGUAAUACGGAGGAUGCAAGCGUUAUCCGGAAUUAUUGGGCGUAAAGCGUCCGCAGGUGGUUUUGAAAGUUUGCUGUCAAAGCGCGGAGCUUAACUUCGUACCGGCAGUGAAAACUACGAGACUAGAGUUUGGUAGGGGUCACGGGAAUUCCCAGUGUAGCGGUGAAAUGCGUAGAGAUUGGGAAGAACACCAGCGGCGAAA